rnacentral:rRNA from 1 species
AACGAACGCUGGCGGCAUGCCUAACACAUGCAAGUCGAACGCGUGUAGCAAUACACGAGUGGCGGACGGGUGAGUAACGCGUGGGAACCUGCCCAAUGGUAGGGAAUAACUGCGGGAAACUGCAGCUAAUACCCUAUGCUCCCUACGGGGGAAAGAUUUAUCGCCAUUGGAGGGGCCCGCGUCGGAUUAGCUAGUUGGCGGGGUAACGGCCCACCAAGGCUACGAUCCGUAGCUGGUCUGAGAGGAUGAUCAGCCACACUGGGACUGAGAUACGGCCCA